rnacentral:rRNA from 1 species
GAUGAACGCUGGCGGCGUGCCUAAUACAUGCCAGUCGAGCGAACGGACGAGAAGCUUGCUUCUCUGAUGUUAGCGGCGGACGGGUGAGUAACACGUGGAUAACCUACCUAUAAGACUGGGAUAACUUCGGGAAACCGGAGCUAAUACCGGAUGAUAUUUUGAACCGCAUGGUUCAAAAGUGAAAGACGGUUUUGCUGUCACUUAUAGAUGGAUCCGCGCUGCAUUAGCUAGUUGGUAAGGUAACGGCUUACCAAGGCAACGAUGCAUAGCCGACCUGAGAGGGUGAUCGGCCACACUGGAACUGAGACACGGUCCAGACUCCUACGGGAGGCAGCAGUAGGGAAUCUUCCGCAAUGGGCGAAAGCCUGACGGAGCAACGCCGCGUGAGUGAUGAAGGUCUUCGGAUCGUAAAACUCUGUUAUUAGGGAAGAACAAAUGUGUAAGUAACUAUGCACGUCUUGACGGUACCUAAUCAGAAAGACACGGCUAACUACGUG